UGAAGCGAAAAGGUACACCCAAAACGCCCCGUUUCUUUAAAAAGAAAGAACAAGCAACGCGACGUUUGCAAAAAUGCAAAUCAUAUCACAGUAUCACACUAACAUCUGCAAUGGGCAUCGUUCGUUUUCAAUCAUCAGAAAGCCUGAAAGCCCAAGCCACGAGUGAUGUGAUGUAAAGUAAAUCAACGGGUAAGUUGCACAGGAUUAUUGCUCUCUGCUUGGAUUAUAGUAGCGGGUAGUGGCAGCCACUAGCCAUUUAGCCACUACUGCUCGGUCAAUAACAUUUCUAUGACGCUUUUGUCCUUGUAUAAUUAAAAUCUCUUUUCAGAUGCAAGAUGACGUAACUUGUAAGCCCCACUCAGUCAAGGAUAUUACUGUCCGCCCAAAAAAAAUUUGUUUGUAGGAAAUUCAGUGACGAGUAGACCAGAAUUUCUGCAAUCGGUGGCGUGGGUCCCACUCAUCAUGGGCAUUCCCGUUAGCCAUUAUCAAUCAUACCUUCACUUCAAAAAUAUAUUAUCCUUCUAGGAAAAAAAAACAGUGAAUCUACAUACUAUUGUAUACUUGCUUAGUUGCUUGUAACUUUCUAAUUUUAUCGUUAUAAAAAU
rnacentral:lncRNA from 1 species